UACAGAGGUCCCGAGCGUUGCUCGGAAUCACUGGGCGUAAAGCGCACGUAGGCGGAUUGUUAAGUCAGGGGUGAAAUCCUGGAGCUCAACUCCAGAACUGCCUUUGAUACUGGCGAUCUCGAGUCCGGGAGAGGUGAGUGGAACUGCGAGUGUAGAGGUGAAAAUUCGUAGAUAUUCGCAAGAACACCAGUGGCGAAGGCGGACUCACUGGCCCGGUACUGACGCUGAGGUGCGAAAGCGUGGGGAGCAAACAGG
rnacentral:rRNA from 1 species